AACCAGACUCCUACGGGAGGCAGCAGUGGGGAAUAUUGCACAAUGGGGGAAACCCUGAUGCAGCGACGCCGCGUGAAGGAAGAAGUAUUUCGGUAUGUAAACAUCUCUCAGCAGGGAAGAAAAUGACGGUACCUGAGUAAGAAGCCCCGGCUAACUACGUGCCAGCAGCCGCGGUAAUACGUAGGGGGCAAGCGUUAUCCGGAUUUACUGGGUGUAAAGGGAGCGUAGACGGCAGUGCAAGUCUGGAGUGGAAGGCGGGGGCUCGACCCCCGGACUGCUCUGGAAACUGUACGGCUGGAGUGCAGGAGAGGUAAGUGGAAUUCCUAGUGUAGCGGUGAAAUGCGUAGAUAUUAGGAGGAACACCAGUGGCGAAGGCGGCUUACUGGACUGUAACUGACGUUGAGGCUCGAAAGCGUGGGGAGCAAACAGGAUUAGAUACCCGGGUA
rnacentral:rRNA from 1 species